rnacentral:misc_RNA from 1 species
ACUCAAUCAAAACACGAAGCCUUUUGUGCGCUCCGGUUUGUUUUCACCCCAUCAAAUAUAUUCCAGAGAGUCAUACGGAUUAUACAAAUUUGGACAAAAAGUGGCCGCAUAUUCCUCAAUACAAGCCUACACUGGCAAUCCAAAUCUUUGUUCCCGCGGAGAUACUACAUUCCACAACUACGACAGUCAUCCUCCGUUCCCCGGGAAUAACUUACCUCAGUCUGAUAUAUGCUAUCCCUGCCGUGAUUUCCAUAUCGCAACUCAUACGGAGUGGACCACAGUUCUCUACAAAUCCAGAGGCAAAUGUCUCACCAUGGGCAACUAAAUCUCACACUUCCACCACCAAGAACUAACGAUGGAUUGAAAUAUCACAUGGGAUCCCCCACUACCACAUCACCCACAUCUGUCUCAGCAAGAUCGUCUCCUAGCAGUGGUCAUGAGGCACCACAGCGCGAGGGCAUGCUUUGUGCCGUGUGUGGCGACAAUGCCGCCUGCCAACACUAUGGAGUUAGAACCUGCGAGGGCUGCAAGGGAUUCUUCAAGAGAACUGUUCAGAAAAACGCAAAGUACGUUUGCUUAGCUGACAAAAAUUGUCCAGUCGAUAAGCGCAGGCGAAACCGGUGUCAAUUCUGUAGAUUUCAGAAAUGUUUAUCCGUGGGAAUGGUGAAAGAAGUUGUUCGCACGGACAGUCUUAAAGGACGUCGAGGUAGACUUCCUUCAAAACCAAAGAGCCCCCAGGAAUCCUCUCCAUCUCCUCCAGUCAGUCUCAUUACAUUGCUAGUGCGAGCACAUCUAGAUUCUAGUCCUGAUAAAUCAAGUCAUUGUUACUCAAAGUAUGAAGUGCCUUGCACAAAAAGCGAGGGAUGCAAUGAGAAGACGACACAAAUGUUUUAUGACCUCAUAACUUCGUCUGUCAACAUCAUCAAGGCUUGGUCUACCAAAAUUCCCGGUUUUUCUGAUAUCUGCCAAGAAGAUCAGAAUCUACUUUUUAAAUCUGCGUCUCUUGAGCUCUUUGUGCUGAGGCUAUCUUACAGGAUGCAGGGAAAUACUGACAAUGUCAUCUUUGAAGAUGGCACAGUUCUUCAUCGAAAACAGUGUGAAGAAAUCUUUGGAGAUUGGAUUAAUUCCAUCGCUGACUUCAGCACGUCGCUGUAUAGAAUGUCCUUGGACAUCUCGGCACUGGCCUGCAUGGAAGCCCUUACACUCGUAACUUUGAGACACGGAUUGAAAAAUCAAGCCAAGAUGGAAGAGGUCCAGAUGAAAAUCAUCGACAGUCUGCGAGACCACUGUGUUUAUAACAGCGAGGCACAAAAGAAGCCCAACUACUUCUCCUCCAUACUGGGAAAAGUCGCUGAACUGAGAACUCUUAGCCGCCAGGGGAUUCAACGAAUGGAGUUACUUAAAAUGGACACAACUGAAGUUGCCCCAGCUCCUCACAUGAUAGAGGACAUCUUUUUGUCCAGUGAACUGCCAUUUUAAUGUAGUGCUCGGUUGAUGUUACAAAACUCCUUUACUUUAUUGUAAGUGAUACAGUUGUGUGUUCUAUGAUUUCUUUUGAAGUCUUAUGUAUUUAUUAUUAUAUUUCUUUAUGAAAAAAGUUUUUAUCUAUUUGCAUAUCUGCAUUUCAUAGUGCUCAGAGUUCUUUUAAUGUCCAUCAUGAAGCCUCUUUGUCCAUAGAAUAAAAAUACAAUGUAGAAACUUUUUUUCAGAAUUUUUUACUCAAAGUUGUUCUUCAUGGAAAAUGUUGUCCGUGAUGUUGUUGUUACCAGAUGUGCUUUUAAAAGGAACAAUGCAUUUAAGUGUAAAUUUAUAUCGGUACAUCUCCCUUUUUUCUCGGUAGUUUAAUGUGAAAACCAUCUACUCCCUUUUUCCUCAUGUAGUUUGUGAUCUCGUAAUGUGUAUUAUACUGAAAUUUUGUAAAUGUUGUUCAGAGUUUUAUUUGAGUUCUUGUGAUCAGAGUCACUUUAAACUUAUUGAAUUAUCAAUUUCAUUGUUUAGAUAUUGUAAUAUUUGAUAUUAUUUUAUCAUCAUGUAUUGUAUUUUGCAUGGCAAUCAUUCCAUUAAUAUAUAUUAUUUCUAUAAUAACAUGUGUUAACUAUGAAAUACUAAACGUUUCAGUAUUUUACUGCUUAUUUUCAGCAUAAUAACACACAAAAUGGCAUAUUUAGUUUUAACAGAGUUCACUCUCAUCAUGCUAUUAAUCAUUAGACAAGGUUUUAUAUGUUGUCAAAUCAGUGUCUGUUGUCUUGAUUCCAGAGAACAGAUAAUUGUUGUAUUGCAUUAAACAAUUUCAUUGAACACAGAUUUUCAAAUUAAUGUAUUUAUUUUUGUAUUUAGAAAUUCAUAUUACUUUCGCUGAUUUUUGGAUUUUUUUUUUUCGAAUGUUAAUGCUUGCAAGUAUUUUAUAUUUCGUCAAAUAUCUCAUACUUUUGACACAAUCGUACAUGUAUGAUUUGCACAUAAAUGUAAAACUUUGAUAAUUAAGUAGUUUUAUGUACAUUCAGAGAUUCAUCGAUAAAAAAGUUAUGUGUAUAUGUGUGUAUUUUAAGUUUCCACAUCAUUGUGUUGUAUCAAAGUGCCAUAUAUGUAAGUGAGUCGCUUAAACGAAGGUUCCCAUUCCGAAAUUUGUUUAAAUAGAGCAGAUGGUGUAUUCGUACAUCCAUUUAGAAAACAUGUUUUACGGUUUCAUAUUGUUACUUUUAAUUGAAUAAAUUUAUG